CGCCGAAGGUGGGGCUAAUGACUGGGGUGAAGUCGUAACAAGGUAGCCGUACCGGAAGGUGCGGCUGGAUCACCUCCUAACAGGGAGACAACAAAAUGUAAAUAUUAAUUUUGUCACCUUAGGUCGAUCGGUAUCUCAGAUUCUUAAUUUUAAGAAUUUCAGUUUCUAAGUUUUUUCUAGGUCACACCCAUCACUUUUUCCUGGGCCAUUAGCUGAGGUGGUUAGAGCGCACCCCUGAUAAGGGUGAGGUCCCUGGUUCAAGUCCAGGAUGGCCCAUAUCUCUAUGUUGGGGGUAUAGCUCAGUUGGUAGAGCGCCUGCUUUGCAAGCAGGAUGUCAGCGGUUCGAGUCCGCUUACCUCCACUGAAUACCACCUCUUACAUAUUUAAAGAGGGAGAUUGUUUUC
rnacentral:misc_RNA from 1 species